rnacentral:rRNA from 1 species
UACAGAGGGUGCGAGCGUUGUUCGGAAUUAUUGGGCGUAAAGGGCGCGUAGGCGGUGCGGUAAGUCACCUGUGAAAUCUCCGGGCUUAACCCGGAAACUGCCGUUGAUACUAUCUGUCUUGAAUAUCGUGGAGGUAAGCGGAAUAUGUCAUGUAGCGGUGAAAUGCUUAGAUAUGACAUAGAACACCCAUUGCGAAGGCAGCUUACUACACGAUCAUUGACGCUGAGGCACGAAAGCGUGGGGAGCAAACAGG